AGGUGGACAUCUUGUAGGAUUUCUGAGUCACCCUGAUGGACAUGGUGAAGUCUGGAGCGAAGGCAGUGAGCUGAAGACGGAGGUUCGAGAGCGAGCUAAGCAGCUGCUUCUAGACGGCUCUUACCUGAGUGGCUAGACACUAGAGGGCAGGGCCUAACCCAACGUCUGCAACCUCCAGACGGGACUCAGGCCCACACCCAGCAAGAUUGGAGAUUUUUUUUUCCAGCAAACCAAAGGGAGGGAACCGCGGCCGGCGCCGCACCGAGCUGUGAGAGAAAGCGGAAGGAGAAACGGAGCAGCUGGUCAGACAGGCUGCUCAGCAAGAGAAACCAGAGCUGCUCUGUCCUGGAACUUCCCCAAGAUAGAGGCAUGGCUCUGAUAAUUAAAGCCUCAAAACGGGAAAUGGACUGACUACCCUGAAGAGAAUCAAGCUUCCAAGUCAGGGAGUGUUCACUCUGGUACAUACAGCACCAGAAGAUGCAUAGUUGAUGGGAAGGACUGUGUCAUCGGCCCCAAGAAGCCGGAAGACCCAGGGUCAAGUGAGAUGGCGAAGCUUCCUUCUUCACACCGCUGCCACCUGAACUUCUCUGGUCCCUCGGAACAUUCUAGAGCCUCCCUUAAUGGGAAUCUUUUGAAGUUGGAAAAGAACAUCUUCCAGUCAUCUACUCCUAAAAGCCUGUGCUUCGUGGGAUCUGGCUAAGAAUUUCUGAAUGCCUGGCUUUCCUAUAACUCUCCGGAGUACCCCAGGAAGCUAACAAGUCAGGUGCAGAUGCUUCUGGCUCUGGGUGCUCUGGACUAGCCAAGAAGAGACUCUUGGGCCAAGGGCUGUUCAGUUGAUAGAGUGCCAGCCCAGCAUGCACAGACGUUUCAUCCCCAACACCACAUAAACUAAGCAUGGUGGUGCACACCUGUAAUCCUAUGUCUCAGGAGGUCGAUACAAGAGGACCAGACGUUUAUACGCAUCUUCAGCAACAUAGCAAGUUCAGGGUCAGCCAGGACUACAUGUUAAGCACUGUCUCCCGGAUGAAGAGAAGUGUCCUUUCUGUUUCCCAGAUUCAUAGGAUCAGUGACAUAAGGAGAAGCCUCAGAGACCAGAAGAGCCCUGAAAAGACAAUGGCAGGGUGGCCUUUGGGAGGACCUGCCGGGCGACAAGAGACGACUGAAGAGGAGAGUUUGCUCAGGAGAAGGCUUGAGACCACCCAAAAGGAGCUGGCAACUGGGAUGAGAGAAAGAGAGAGGAUUCUACAGGGUUGUAAUGAAGAGAUAACAGGCAAAAAUCACCCUCCAUGCAAAGCAGACGCUUGCAAAUCCAGUCCCUAGGGAGCAAGCCAUGCAAAUGGUGCCCUGCCUGUGACCUGGUCCCUGCCAGUGGUAAA
rnacentral:lncRNA from 1 species